UACGUAGGGGGCUAGCGUUGUCCGGAAUCAUUGGGCGUAAAGCGCGUGUAGGCGGUUCGGUAAGUCUGCUGUGAAAGUCGGGGGCUCAACCCUCGAAUGCCGGUGGAUACUGUCGGACUAGAGUGCGGAAGAGGCGAGUGGAAUUCCCGGUGUAGAGGUGAAAUUCGUAGAUAUCGGGAGGAACACCGGUGGCGAAGGCGGCGAUCUGGGUCGAUACUGACGCUGAGGUGCGAAAGCGUGGGGAGCAAACAGG
rnacentral:rRNA from 1 species